AUUCUGUGAUUUGGCUUCACUUUUGGGAGGUGGUUGAAAUAUGUAAUCAAAAUCGGGUUUCCUCAAGACUUUAUCACAUUUGAAACUGUGGUUGGCUGCUUCGUAGUCAGUCAUUUGGGGGCAUUUUUGCUUCUGCCAAAACAUUAUGUGUGUGCACACGUUUGUGUGUGUGUGUGUGUGUGUGUUUGUGUGUGUGAGUAAGGGGUGGAGGGCAGUGGCAGGUGUCCUGUCUUUUCCUUCUACUCUGUUCCUUCUCCCAUCUAGCUUCAUUGCAGUCAACUUUACAUCACGAUGAAUUUAGAAGUGAAGAUACGUUAAAGAGAUAAUUGCGAUACGAGGAUUUAAUGUCACGUUACUGCAAAGAGUUGGUUUUUGCUGAGAUCUGUUGUAUAUUUAUGAUUUUCUAUAUGUGUCUUUGUUAUACUUAGCAGAAUCUGGUUAUUUAUUUUCAUAUAGACUUAAUAGCUCAUUGAAAGAGAAAUUAAGCUGAUUACUAUUAGUCAACAUUUAAGGUGCUCCCACUGCAGAAAUUUAAGGCCUGAGCCUGAAAUGCUGUAUUAUGAAGCCUUGUGACUGAAAAAGAUGUUUACAUAUGUUGUCUAUUUUUUUAAUAAACUUUUUUUUUAUAGCUAGUCUA